UGAUGGUGGUGAGGAUAAUUUCUGAGCAUACCUGUAAAUCUCUCUCAAGCUUGGUAGAGAUUUUCUCCUUCUUUCUGUCUGAAACUCAGAAUCUCACUUCUUAAAUA